AGGUAGUUUACCUGCCUCCGUUGACUAUUUUGACUUUCCACAUUCACACUUUUUAAUUGUAAUAAUAGUAAUAAUAACUUUUUCUUGCGUCCAAAAAUAUGAGAUAAAUAUAUGAUGUGUCCUGUCUUUGUAAUAAUCAAUUGCUCAUUUUGGUGAAGAAGCAUAUAAACAAAAAUUGACAAAGACAUGCCUUCUAGUCGAAUUUUUCUUUCAAAAUAAGUGUGUGAAUACGAAAUAAGAUAAGUGGCGUGCAAUGAAGGGAGAGAAAAGAAAAGAAAUUAUAAAUAUGCAUAUGUAAAUUGGGUUUGUUAUUUUUAUCAAUUAAAUAAUAAUAAAAAUUAACACUUUAAAAGUGUUCCAAUUCCUAUAAAAAAAACAUAACCAACUUAGUUACAGGAUGUGUUGGAAUCUAGGCUUACUACAUAAUUGUGCAUCAAAAAUUGAAAGUUAAUACAUUCUUAUUAAAAGAACAACUAUGCCACAAACCAUUAUUGGAUUCAUUCCAGCUUCAAAAUUACGAAUUCAGUUUUGUCCUCCAUCCUAAUUUGCUUCAUGCCAUGAGCCUGCUAUUCUUAAAACACUUCUUCUUCUCCUCCACAACCUUCUUUUACAACCGGCAUGCGCAUCCUUUGGUUGGCUCCCACACGUGCCUUCCAUUUGCACCCAACUCUUCCGCUCAUAAGUCCCAUUGCUUCAUCUCCCACUCAAAUCCACAUAUUCUUCAUGCUACCUACGAACCUCCUUCUAACAUCUUACCUUCACCUUCAUCCUCAACCUGCACAAAUAAAAACCAAGAGUUCCCGGUCAUCAAUAGUACAAUAAUUAUAAACCUUUCACUUAAUUACCUUUACAACUAAACCCAAAACCCAUAUACCAGUUGCACUUCUCUACCCACUCUUCACCUUCACAUAGGUUAGGAUUUAGUAGUCAAUCCGAGAAAACAUAGCUAAAAGAUUUCAUUCUAUAUUUCAAACAUAACCGGGUUUUAACUUCUACCAUUUGAAAAUUUUCUUCCGCAUCAAGAGAUAACUCUAUUUCUAUGAUCCCAAAUACUCCACACAACAGUAGUCCAAACAUCUUUCCAAACCAUAUUUUGUUUGGUAUACAUAUGUAUCAAGUAAAAAUUCAAAAUAAUAUUUCAAAUCAUUAUGUUGAACACACAACAGGCUUAACCACUUGAAGCAAUUAUUCCAAACCUUAACCACUUGAAGCAAUUAUUCCAAACCUAGUACACUAUUUUACACUCUAGAAACAAGUGUUGGUUUGAUUCUUUCCUGUCAUGGCAUAAAACACCCACGACCACUCUUCUUAACAAAUUUACUUGUAGUAAGUACUUUUGAGAGCGCCUUAUACAACUAUACAUGUUUAAAUACAUCUUUAUCAUUACCAAUGACAUAAUUAAACAAGCAUUCAUAAAUUGUUUUAACAGAAAAACAACCAAAUUCCUUUUUUCAAACCUUUUUAUCUUGUAGCUCUGUGUUACCUUGUACAUUUGACAGAUUCCUUAAUAACUUGGGUUUGUAUUCACUUGAAAUUUGUUUGAUUGGGGAUGGGGAGGAAGAGAAGUUAAUUUGCGAAGAAGAAGGGAUAUGACCAUUGAUUUGAACGAGUGACUAUGAAAAGACAAGAAAGAAAACAGAAAAAAUGUUGAUUUGAUAAUUUCAUUACUUCAAAGUUUAAAAUGUUUAAAAUUUUCCCAUUUUUUACAUGAAGUUAUAUUUUAAUUAAAAAAAUAUUUUUUGUUUUUAACUGUUAUAAUCUAAAACAAUUUAAUAUUAUAUUAUCAACAUAUCAUGAAUUUACAUCUUAAUAAAUUUUAUUUUAUUUUUUACUUUUAAUUGUUAUAAUAUGAAACAAUUUAGUCUUUUAUUGUGUUGUAUUUUCAACAUAUCACAACUAUAAGAAGAUAAAUAUAAAUGAAAUAGACUUAGAUAAAUCCCACACAUGUAAACACGAUUUGCAUAAAAAUUGCACAUGAUUGACUAUAUGACAAAUAAAAUUAUUUUGAUCUUCUUCUUUCCCUCUGUU
rnacentral:lncRNA from 1 species